UCCAUUGCAUAAUAUAAUUAUAGUGUAUAGUUCAUGAAUCCGAAGUGGUUCAAAAGGAUGUCGCUGUACAGAUUCAGAGCGGCCGCUUCCAGCUCAGCAAAAGUGAAAGCCACUUGACGGUUAAAUUCGUAGUGUGUCCGCUGAUAGCGCUCGGGGACAGAAAAAUCUCAUAGGUCAGAGUCGCUUCCGACUUCGUUACCGUCAACAUUAAACACAACAGCAAGAUACUUGGAAAGGACUUUCUCGUUCGAACAAACAUAAUGGAAGCGUAUUCUACACGCACAUAUUCACUCGGGCCAACCGUGUGACUCAUUUGGAAAAAGGACUCAUCGUCGGUUUCAUGGCAGCGAAGUGAGCAGACAAAAAAGGCAUCGUUUUUUUCCACAUGAUCGUUCUGAGCAAAAUUCAGCGAUUUGCCAGGAAUAAACCACCGAUGAGACAGUACCCGUUCGGAUUCAGGACGUUUUCCCAUACAUUGUACCCGGUCGAAGCGAUGGCAAGCGAUGCAGAUAACUGGGUCAAAAAGGCGGAGGUUCUGGGAAUUUAUGCACUCGUAAGUGUUCUUUUUGUCAUAACCACCUAAACUAUUUUUGGAACCAUCAUUGUUCCAUGGGAUUUAACUUUUCCUUCGGUUAGCGAUCUGAGUAUGACCAAGGACAAGGAAUCAGAACCGGCGACUGACAGUCCAGAGAAAGAGAAUGCGGAAAAACCUUCUAGUCCAUAGCUCCUGAACAAAAACGAGCUGAAGCGAAUAUGGAGAAACAGCUUCCUCCACGGAAAAUGCAGAGGCAUGCAACGCGGCGGAUGCAAGUUUGCUAAUUGAAAUUUUUCGCAAAGAUCUAGUAGAAUUAAAACUGGGGGUGCUGCGAAACGAUCCUUUUUCGACGCUAUACUCGGUUAAAACUAUCGACGCUUUGCACUUGAUGCCGGAACUGCCCACCCCGAGAGCAGAUGAGCGCUGGGGAAUGUUUUCAGCCACCUGGAGGAGGAAGUUCAGCGCGGAAGAAAUGUUACCAGACUUCGCCGAUCUGGUAUCUGGACUUUUUUUGAUGAUCUCAUAGAGAUUGGGUGUGCAGAUGGCCGUUUAAAGUUCUGGGAGGGAACGACUGGUAACUUUUAGGAUAUAUAUGAAGCUGAAAACAACCACAACAAUGGGGUAACUAACAUAAACCUCGCCGGUGACAAAGUGAUAGUCGCACGGUUGAGUGAACGAAUCGAUUUUCUGAGACUGGAAACGUACACGUAAGGUUUUCAGAUCGAUUGGGGAUUUACGUCUGCAUAUGGGCGAAGUAAGUUCUAUGUUUCAAGCAAUUUUUUAAGCUCACCUAGGGCGCAGACAGAUUUUACUUGUUCUUUUAAAAUACUGUAUAUUCUAAGUCAUUUAAUUUUCAGUCUGUAAUGAGUAUGUCAUCAAGUGCCUUAAUUCUUUUUCUUUUUAGCCCACGUACGCAGCGGUUCGGUAGGAAGCAUUAGUUUAUUUCAGCAACUCGCCGGCUCAAAUCCGUCCACAGCGUUGCCAGCUCAACAUCACGCAUCCGAGGAGGAGCUUCGAUGUAUCCUGGAGUUUCACCAGCAGGGUCACCGGUGACAUGUUUGGAAGAGGCGGGCGGUACAGUCAUUACUGGCAGCCAGGGCCACACUGUUAACGUGUUCCGGCUUGAUAGCCACCUAUUGCAGUUCACCCUAAACGGCCAUUGCGGUCCUAUCACAUGUAUUUUCAUAGACCAGUGGCAGGCCGAGAUGGGCGCAUCUGGUUGCCAGGAUGGUGUGCUAUGUGUGUGGGACUUGAUACGGGGUGCCUGUAUGUACAAAAUUGAAGCCCAUGACGACAUGACGUCGCACUUGCCUGUUCCCCGAGUUACGCAAUAUCGCUCGGACUGAACGAACGAAUACGGUUUUGGGAUAGAUUUCAGGGUUAGCCGCUCAACACCAUGACCGUCAGUCAUGCAUAUUCAUCGCUUGUGAUGCUGACGCUUCUGAACGAAGCCAUUGCUAGCACGAGUUUUUGAUUUGGAAGGAUAGUUGCUGAGGACCAUUCUCACAAGAGUAUAAAAGUUCUAACCU